rnacentral:lncRNA from 10 species
GACCCAGGUGGCUGGGGUGGCAGCUGAUCAUGUCAGGAGGACUCCUCUGCACAACAUCACAAGCACAGGAGAGAAUGCUAAACUUGAUUGGGAGCUCACAGAAGACCCCUGGAACCCAGAGCAAUAAGGGAAAUUUGGACCCAGAGAUACAUUCAGAGAGAAGAUGAUGUGAAGGCACAGGAAGGAUGCCCUGUGAACAUCAGGACCAAUGCCUGCAAACCUAGGAGAGAGGUCUACAACAGAUCCUUCCCUCGCAGCCCUCAGAUCGAACUGACCCUGCAAGUACCUUGAUUUUGGACUUCUGGCUUCCAGAACUGAGCAACAAUAACUUUCUGUUGAAGCCGUCCAGUUUUGAAGCCACCCAGUCUGUGGUGCUUGGUUACCGCGGCCCUAGCAAACUUGCCUGAGGCUUUCCAAAUCACAGCCCCGUUUUGUCACAGGGGAAGAAUUCUAAGAAGUUCUUUAUUUGGCCAAGUGAGGGAUAGAAGAAUAAUGAGCAUUUCCCUCAUCACAGCUCUGACAACUGCCUCAGCCACACACGGCUUAGGAGAUUGGCCACUUCCUCCGCCUUCAGCUUGCAGGGGGCUUCAGUAAUAAAUGUGUAGAAGUGUUUGGUCUUCUCAAUGCUGGGAAUCCAGGGAGUAUGGCCUGGCAUACAUGGAAACCAGUCCCCUAAAGACCUCAUUGACACAGGCCUCAUUUGGGGGUCUCCUCAGGCACUUCCCCCUUGGCUCCUGAGGCCAGAACCCGACCCUGCUGUGUCUCUCUUCCAUGCAUCUUUUUGCCAUCUCUGCUCUCUGGAAUCUGCAACAAUAUGAGGGUGCUCAGGACUUUGAUGUUGCUACUGACCUCAGCAUGCCCCAGUCCAAACCUACCUUCUUCCUCCUGGGCCCACAUCCGCUUCUGCUCCCCACUUCCCCAGUGUCUUCAUUCUUUUCAUCACAUGCUGACCAAAGACUCAUCUUUAGGCACUCUCUAUGUCCCUUCUGCUACAUCCACUCUGUUGCCACAUCUCCUGAAUUCUUCUGUCUGAUUUCUUCUCACUCUUCCUUUCCACCCUGGAUCAGUCCAUUGGGGCCGCAUGUCAGGACACCGGAUGACACUGUUUGGACACCUGGAAGGAUCGGGUAAAAGAUACAGAGAAGUCUAAGGAGGGAUAGGGUGAGUCUGGGAUGGGCUGUGGAUUAGGCACCAGGUAAAGCUAAUUGGGGGGUGGGUGAGGAAUGGGGUGAGGGUAUCUAUUGCAUCUAUUUUAUGGUAAUAAAAGGAAGUUGAAAGUUCA